rnacentral:rRNA from 1 species
UACGGAGGGGGCAAGCGUUACUCGGAAUUAUUGGGCGUAAAGGGCGCGUAGGCGGUCCCGCGCGUCGGAGGUGAAAUCCCCGGGCUUAACCCGGGUCGUGCCUCCGAUACGGCGGGACUUGAGUCCGGGAUAGGGGAGCAGAAUUCCCAGUGUAGCGGUGAAAUGCGUAGAUAUUGGGAGGAAUACCAGUGGCGAAGGCGGCUCCCUGGACCGGUACUGACGCUGAGGCGCGAAAGCGUGGGUAG